UACGAAGGGUGCAAGCGUUAAUCGGAAUUACUGGGCGUAAAGGGUGCGUAGGCGGUUCGUUAAGUCUGUCGUGAAAUCCCCGGGCUCAACCUGGGAAUGGCGAUGGAUACUGGCGAGCUAGAGUGUGUCAGAGGAUGGUGGAAUUCCCGGUGUAGCGGUGAAAUGCGUAGAGAUCGGGAGGAACAUCAGAGGCGAAGGCGGCGACCUGGACAAGUACUGACACUCAACUACGAAAGCGUGGGGAGCAAACAGG
rnacentral:rRNA from 1 species